GAGCGAGACCAGGGAUUGCUCAUCCUCGUGCAUACUAGUCUGCUUUGUUGCUGCUGAGCCACGGUGGGAACUCUUGGAGGCUGGAUUUUCAUGUCCCUGCACCAAGCAGUCAUUGAAUGCACGUUGACUCCGGGAAGAGCCCCCAAGUCCAUAUGCUGAAAUCCUGACCUACGAAGAUGAUGGUAUUAGGAGAUAACACCUUUGGAAAGUGCUAAAGGCAUGAUGGUGGAUCCUGCACCACACAUGGUGUUUUAUGAGAGGGUCCAUGAAGAUGCCUCGCCCUUUUUACUAUGUGAAGACACAGAGAGAAGGUACCGGCUGGGAACAAGAAGAGAGACCUCACCAGAGAAUGACCGUGCUGGCCAUAAAGACAUUUGCUUUUCUUUAAAAGUGUUUUGAAUUAUUUUAGAGGCUUAUAAAAUACCUUUAUUUCUUUCAAGAAAAACAGGAUAUACAAGUUAAUGUAUGAGUAUGUUCAUCUUUAUACCAACACAAUCAUAAACUGUGACUUAGAAAAGUUUACUGUGGAGAUAGAAGACCAGGAGGGCAGAAGUACCCCAGGCCCACCAAAGUCACACUGGCAUCCUGCUUCGCAGCACUCUAGUUAUAACUCCCUUUGAAGCUGCGAAAAUAAUCAUUGUCCUAAUUUUUAGUGUAAUCACUCAUUGCAUUUCUUUACAGUUUUAUCACUCAAGUAUGCAUCCUUAAACACUAGUUUCGUCUUUAAAAAACCUUUUGUGAAUUAAAUUUCUUUUCUUCUGGAGGGUAUAACUUCAUCCCUUCCUUUGCCUGAAAAUCAAUCUGUUGAAGAAUGUGAGUCCUCUGAUCUGUAGUUUUCCACUCUUUGGCUCUUGCUGAAUGCAUCUCAAGGGACAGUUUCGUUUUCCUCUGUCCUCUGUAUUUUUGCAAAUGGUCAGUGACUACGGAGGCUCGGUUUUACUUGAGUCUAACCCCUUUGGUGAUGUUCUGUUGGUGGCGUGGUCUUCCUUCACUGGGAGGCACAUCACACCAGACCGUCUUCCCUUUGGUCAUUUUAUUUUAUUUUAUUUUUUCAGCCAUGCCCAUGGCAUGCAGAAGUUCCCGGGCCAGGGAUUGAAUCUGUGCCACAGCCGUGGCCUGAGCCACAGUCGUGACAAUGCCAGAUCCCCAACUCACUGUGCCACCAGGGAACGCCCCCUUUGGUAAUUUUAGAAACCGCUGGUGCUCAGUUCUAUGUUAAUGUUUCUCUAGUUAACUUGGUUUUCUACAGCUCAUUAUCCAUGGAUACCCAGGAAGGACUCACGUGCAGAUUGAUCUCUGAGUUUUUGAUGUCAGUGAUUUUUUAUGCCCUGAUAGACUUGAAAAUCAGUUUUUUUGGAUAUAAGAUUCUUAAUUCACCUGUUUUUUUCCUCAGAUAUUGUGGUGAUGAAUUUAAGUGUCAGUUUAGCUGGGCCGUGGUGCCCAUGUAUAUUGUCCAAGAUUACUCUGGAUGAUUUGCAUUGGUGGAUUUGAGUAACGAAGAUUGCUCUCCAUAACGUGGGUAGACCUCGCCCAGUCCGUUGAAGGCUUGAAUAGAACAAAAGGCUGACAUUCUCCCAGUUUGGUAUUGGGAAAUGUUUCAAGCACUGAGUGUUCUGCUGAGUUGGUGUCCAGCGAAUUACUUGAGAUCACAUGAUUAAAUUGCCCAGGAGGAAAGCAAGUUCACUAAUUAAGCUUCUUAAAAAUGUACGAACUUUCUCUGUAACUUCAUGGCGAAUUGAUAUGUUUUCUGUGAAUUAUUUUGACUUUCUGAAGAAUUUGAUGCACAAAGUUCAUCCCUUAGCAGCUCAAAUUACAAAGAUGGGUCAAUGGCUUUUCCUUCCAAGAAAUUUAUGACGCUAUCAAACUCCUAGAGGAAAACAUAGGCCAAACACUCUCUGACAUAAAUGACAGCAACAUCUUCUCAGAUCCACC